GGGGACAAAGUAUAAUUUUACGUCUCAGUUACAUUGAGAAGAUUCGCUUAUAGUGAUGUACCUAU
rnacentral:tRNA from 1 species